CAUAACAUCUGUACUUCAGACCUCAAAUUAGGGCAUGAAAAUGUUUCUAUGUAUGCUUCACCAACAAUUUAGCCAGAAGCCCUAAUUUCAGUUACAGCUCGAAUUAGAGAAUCAAAUGAUAUUGUAAGCAUAUGUACCGAGUGCGUUGAUGGGAGAAACUGGUGUUCGGAAGAAGAUGACAGAUGAUACGAUGACUACCACUCGCUUCACGCAGUUCCCCACAGCGUGUGUCACUGGUGAUACCAUUCCUAGAAUUAUGUAUGAAACCUGCUUGCACAAGAUAUAUUGUUAGAAUAGAAUGUUAUUCGGGUUUUAA